rnacentral:rRNA from 1 species
AUGGGGCUUCUCCAGGUCCUCGGCGCCCGCGCCCCUGGCCGACUUCGACCGCGUCAUGGCACGCCGUCAAGCACGCCGCGCGCGUCAUGGUGCCGCUGCUGCAUCCUCUGCACGGGGAGCACCACGGGGAUGAUGGGCGGGGUCGCGGUGCUCCCCUACAGCCUCUCGAAGGCGACGGUGGUGAGCGUGGUGCGGCUGGUGGCGGAGGAGCUGGCGUGCGCGUCAACGCCAUCUCGCCGCACGCCAUGCUACGUCGCUGCUGGUCCGGUCGCUGGCGAGGGCGCACCCGGGCUAGGCGCUGCUCGCAUGCGGGCGCGCGGCCAAGGAGGACGUCGUUGA